GAUGAACGCUAGCGGCAGGCCUAAUGCAUGCAAGCCGAACGGCAAGUUUGAUAGCAAUAUUGGACCUAGAGUGGCGCAAGGGUACGUAACACGUAUGCAACCUGCCCGCGACAGGAGGAUAGCUCCCCGAAAGGGGAAUUAACCCUCCAUAACACCAUGAGAAGGCAUCUGAUUAUGGUUAAACCGCAAGGGGUCGCGGAUGGGCAUGCGGUUGCUUAGCUAGUUGGCGGGGUAAAGGCCCACCAAGGCGGUGAUCAAUAGGGGUUCUGAGAGGAAGGUCCCCCACACUGGCACUGAGAUACGGGCCAGACUCCUACGGGAGGCAGCAGUAGGGAAUAUUGGACAAUGGUUGCAAGACUGAUCCAGCCAUGCCGCGUGCAGGAAGAAGGCCUUCUGGGUCGUAAACUGCUUUUUCCUGUGGAUAAAAUACCCGUGCGCGGGGAAUUGAAGGUAACAGGGGAAUAAGCCACGGCUAACUACGUG
rnacentral:rRNA from 1 species